UUCUUCUCAUUACCACCAGGGAGGAAAUCUAUUAGAAUAAGUUUCUCAUAAUGCUAAUUCAUAGGAGAUCUUGAUUUAUGUUACACUAGAUAACCAGCUUUAAUUCUAAACUGUAAGAGAAAAAGUAGGUCUUUAGUUUUGAUGGGUCAAAUGACUCGGUUGCCAGCACCAGGUUCGUGACCGUCUCCAGUGCCGACCUUCUU
rnacentral:lncRNA from 1 species